rnacentral:misc_RNA from 1 species
AAAAAAAAAAAAAAGAGUGGCUUAUAGGGAUUUGAAUGAAACACAACAUCUGAGAUGCAGCUCCAUAGUUAUGACAAUUUGAAAUUGAUUGACUACGUAGCUAGGACUUGAGUACAGCAAUCUAGAAUACAUGGUUCCUCCACUCCAAGUAUCAAUGAAGCAAUCACACCAUGGCAACUCCUUAGCAUCCAAUUUCAUAUAAAAUGCUAUUAAGUCACAUCAUGGAAGCUCCCCAGCGUCCACUUUCAUAUAAAAUGCUAUUACGUUAUUCAAUUCUGGGAAAUUCCCAUCUAAUCCCUCCUUCCACUUCUUUUGAAUUGAAUAACAGCCUCUCAUAGUUUCCAAUUAUUCAAAUACAACACAGCGAAUUCAUAAUUCUUAAUACUAUAGGUAGUUGCAACAAUUCCAUAAAAGGACGUCCCUUUUCAACGUAUCAUUUCAUGGCUACAGAUUCAUUAUCAUAGAAAUUUACCAAUAAUUUGGAUCACAAGCUGAUUAAGCUAAAUAUGGCUACUGAAAUCUAAACUUUCAUCAUUAUAAAAGAAAAAAUAAAUAAAUAAAAAAUUUCCUUGUCAUCUGAUAUAGGCAAUCAAGCAGUCCUCAAAAGUUAAAAUAAUGUUCAGAAAGUCCAAGUGAACAGUAAACCAUAAUAAUGAAACUAUAAUAAGACAACAGGAACACAUAAUUAAACCACAUAAAACCCUAAAACACGGUUUCCCGCACUACUGACCAAAUAAUUGAA